rnacentral:tRNA from 1 species
GGGGCUGAGGCUCAGUGGUAGAGCACUUGCCUGGCAUGUGUGAGGCACUGGGUUCGAUUCUCAGCACCA